AACUGGGCUGAAAUGAAAAUUGUGUAAAAUUGUGUUGUGAGAUGCCGGAUGAGCUCCACAUCAUUGAUGUGCUAGUUGGUUAUAGAAAUAAAUUCUGAAGGUUUUUCAUCUUUAAAUUAUUCUGACAGAUUGUCACUGCAGACAAUUUAAUACUACAUCUAGAGAAAAUUUAUAUUAGAAUCGAGUGAUUAAACAAUCUCUAGCUGCAUGCUUUGAAAUUGAUAUCACGUUGUGCGUGGUAAAGUGCAGAACAUAUUGCAUUUUCAUAUUCAUCCUAUUCUAUAUUUGGUUGUUUGCGCAUGCCCGAACCAUUAGGCACAUGGAAAUUCAUGGUUACAAAUAUGGUGAUGGUGUAUUAGUGAUCAAGUUCCAAUAACACAAAAAAUAUUGAUUGAUCAUAUGACUGACUUUUAUGAUUGAUUAAAUUAUCAUCUUUUGAAAUCAAUCAAACAAAUCAACUAUGCAAUCAAUCUACAAACUGUGUUUUACCAGGCAUUUCUAAUCUCACCACGGAUGAUAGUUCAUCAGCCUGUUUUGUUGUCUCAACACCACCAUCACCAUGGACCAGAAAAAUCAAUUGUUAAAGUAAUACACAAGUAUUUUCUCAUCACUUUCAUCUUGUUCAUAAACGUUAAUAAUCGCACGCUAGUGCACAUCUAAUAA